AAUAAUGCAAAAUAAUGCAAAAGUGAAAGUGAAGUUAAUAAAGGUCUUAAUAGACUAAAAGAAAUAAGAGUAAUACUAUGGCUUUUGGAUUUAAACUCAUAUAACUCAAAAUGAAGCUGAAAAUAUUCGUUUUAUGAAGAUAGCUUUAAUCAAAUUAAAGAAUUCUUAAGAAUAAAUGCAAAAAAUUAUCUGCA
rnacentral:sRNA from 1 species